GUUUGAACAUAACGACAAAGAAACAAAACAAGAUAGAUUUCCAACUACAACCCUGAAAUAAUUCGGAUAACAGAAAAUAAAACAAAACAAACUACCAACUACAAUAGCAGUGCCAUCUUUCUCAUUCUUCUUCCCUCCGAUUUCCUUAAUUGAUUUCAAUAUUAUCCCAAAUGUUUCACGGAUUCCUCAUGCCCAUCUUGCUCCUCAAAUUUUGAUAUCUCAAAGAUUGGAGGAAGGUUAGCACUUGAAGGCAUGCCCCAGUCUUUAUAUGAAACAUCUUCUUUACCCGCAGGUCCUAGAGAAUUUUUCAUAGCAUUUUCUGCACUCUUCAUUUUUUCCAACCAUUUUCUCUGACUCUUCUGGCACACUGGACUUCUUGUUAAAAAAUUUUGGUGGUCCAGUUAACUUAAAAGUACGCUUAGGAGUAUAACAAUGAUCACCAAGAGUAUCGAAUAUAGGUUUACUAGCAGCAUGAGGACACACAAUCGUUGGACGAGCCAGUGUGGAAGUCCCAGUAGAGGAUUGAGCAAUAAGAUCACAGACGACAUGUGGUGUUUUGAAUGUAGCAGGCUUAUACUGAGGAGCUAGAGGAAAAGUGGUGGAAGUAUUGAGAUGAGUUUGGCUUAGAAUGAAUUCUGAAUCAUGUUACGGUGCAUCAACAAUAGUAGAAAAUUGACUUUGAGAUUUUGCUGGAAAACUCGAGGUAUUUGUAGGAUUAAUAAAGGGAAAUGGAGGAGGAGGCAACCCACUGACCCAAGCUCGAUGUAUUUUUAUCAUUUGUUGUAUUAGCCUCCUAAUCUCUUGCUUCAAACUCUCAUUUUCCUGAUUCUUUGUUUGAUCCAUGAUGUCACUCUCUAUAUCUUUGUUGGACACAACUAACCCUUUGGAUUUGGUGUGAUGUGAAAGACCAGCCAGAAUGCCACAAACCAACCACCUUAAACCGACUUAACAAAAAAAUAACAAAUGUGUUAGAGUUCAACACUAUUUCAAAACCUCUUUUUCCUUCUUUUAUUUUUUUUGUUUUUUGAAAAGAUCACCGAACCCAAGAAGGGCGCCUACGUAUCUCACUCCCGAGAGAGGAGAAUCAGGUGUGCGUAGUUCGUGAAGUCUAGCCAAAAUGGC
rnacentral:lncRNA from 1 species